AGUUUACAGUAAGGUGUUGUAUUAUCUAGGAGUGAUAGAAGUUUACAGUAAGGUGUUGUAUUAUCUAGGAGUGAUAGGAGCUUACAGUAAGGUGUUGUAUUAUCCAGGAGUGAUAGGAGCUUACAGUAAGGUGUUGUAUUAUCCAGGAGUGAUAGGAGCUUACAGUAAGGUGUUGUAUUAUCCAGGAGUGAUAGGAGUUUACAGUAAGGUGUUGUAUUAUCCAGGAGUGAUAGGAGUUUACAGUAAGGUGUUGUAUUAUCCAGGAGUGAUAGGAGUUUACAGUAAGGUGUUGUAUUAUCCAGGAGUGAUAGGAGUUUACAGUAAGGUGUUGUAUUAUCCAGGAGUGAUAGGAGCUUACAGUAAGGUGUUGUAUUAUCCAGGAGUGAUAGGAGUUUACAGUAAGGUGUUGUAUUAUCCAGGAGUGAUAGAAGUUUACAGUAAGGUGUUGUAUUAUCCAGGAGUGAUAGGAGUUUACAGUAAGGUGUUGUAUUAUCCAGGAGUGAUAGGAGUUUACAGUAAGGUGUUGUAUUAUCCAGGAGUGAUAGGAGUUUACAGUAAGGUGUUGUAUUAUCCAGGAGUGAUAGGAGUUUACAGUAAGGUGUUGUAUUAUCCAGGAGUGAUAGGAGUUUACAGUAAGGUGUUGUAUUAUCCAGGAGUGAUAGGAGUUUACAGUAAGGUGUUGUAUUAUCCAGGAGUGAU